rnacentral:tmRNA from 1 species
AUGAUUCCCGAGACAUACCAGCCAAGAAGGGGAGGUUGGACAGUCUGACCAUAGAAGAUAUUUUCAGCCCUGUUGAUACCAUUUUACACGUUGCCGGCAGCCCCAUUACAGUAAGAACUUUUGAAACACCAUUUCAUAUUUUAUGGAUAGAUAAAGACAGUGUAUGGAACGGGUAUCUUUCAGAGUUUUUUAGAGCCCUGUAUGUGAAACUAUAUGGUAAUUUUAUUGGCCUCAAACCUAUACUUGCCUACGUUUUCCCAGCAGCUGUGGAGUCUCCCACUUUCUUCAACACCAUUUUUACUAGCUUUCCUUUCCUGUGUUUAAGAUUUGGCAAGCCUGUAAAAACCAGCUGUGUCCACUUACAGAAGGAUUGUUUAAAAAUACUUGCAAAAUUACCUAAUGUUAUCAGGUCUCCUCUAGCAGACAAAGUUUUGGACAUAAAGGCUCAGAAGAAACCAAUCACCAGUAUGUGGCCCUUGCUCACCAAAGAAUUAAAUGGAAGUUUUGCUGAAGAUAACAAGGUUAUAAUUACAAAGGAAUGUAAUGUAGUUGAAAUUGACUUUACAAAGGCUUUCCUUAUUUCCUGUAACAUGCCUUAUGCAGUUUACUGGCAUGAGCAGAUGGUGGAAAUUGUUAAUGUGAUAACAGAUGAAAUGAAGGAUUCUCUAGUGUCAAGAUAUAAUGAGUUUCUCUAUGCUAUCAUAUCAAGUGGGAAUAAACAUAACUUCACCUGGGUGAGUAUAAGCAAAUGUACAGUUCACAUGGUGGGACCCGACCUGGUGAAUGAUACACAGUUCCUGGAUGAAAUAUUCCACAGACUCUCAUCAGUUUAUAAUGGACACGUAGGGGAUAUUACAGUCUCAUCACAGAAACUAAAAGUUGCUAUGUUCACUGAUAUUCUGGAUGAAAUAAAGUUGAUCAAACCACUCUGUCUUGAAGAAAACAGGCAACCAGAGACUUUUCAAAGCGCAUGCGAGGAUAUUCUAAGAUAUUCACUCUGUCUUUGUAAACACUCAAAGGAAGACAUACUCUGGAAAAUUCUUCUGACCAUGUGGCAGCAAAGAAGAAAUACCUCUUUCUGGCUAAAAGAAACAAUGAAUAUAGAACAUCCCACCAUCCGGCCCAAAGGACUUUUCUUUACCAUAGCUCCUGCAUUUUAUCUCCACACAAAGCAUGGAAUGUCUUUUUGGAUGCAAGACAAACCCCUCCCAAGCUGCUUUGAUUAUACCCCUUAUAUCAUGGAACUGUGUGACAUACUACAACUGAAUGAUGAAGAAAGAGACAUGAUAUUGUCAAAUUAUGAAACUUUAUUAAAUUUAUCAUAA